rnacentral:rRNA from 1 species
AAAAACAUGUUUUUUUGAUAAUAAUUUAAAGUUUAAUUUGCCCCCUGAAAUUUUUAAAGGGCUGCAGUAUAUUGACUGUACAAAGGUAGCAUAAUCAUUAGUUUUUUAAUUGAAGACUUGUAUGAAUGAUUUGAUGAGAUGUAAACUGUCUUUUUUUUUAGUAGUAGAAUUUAAUUUUUUAGUUAAAAAGCUAAAAUUUUUUUAAAAGACGAGAAGACCCUAUAGAGUUUAAUUUUUUUAAUUUUUAUUAAUAUUUUAUAAAAUUUUUAAUUAAUAAAUAUUAAAAAAUUUUGUUGGGGUGAUAGAAAAAUUUAAAAAACUUUUUUUGAAAAAAUUGACAUUAAUUUAUGAUUGUUUGAUCCAUAAUUUAUGAUUAAAAGAUUAAAUUACCUUAGGGAUAACAGCGUAAUUUUUUUUUUUAGUUCAAAUAAAAAUUAAAGUUUGCGACCUCGAUGUUGGAUUAAGAUAAAAUUUAAAUGUAAAAGUUUAAAAUUUUGAUCUGUUCGAUCAUUAAAAUCUUACAUGAUCUGAGU